GCCCAACUCAUGCCUCUUGCAACCUGCCC
rnacentral:piRNA from 1 species